rnacentral:rRNA from 1 species
AGAGUUUGAUCCUGGCUCAGGACGAACGCUGGCGGCGUGCCUAAUACAUGCAAGUCGAGCGGAUUGAUGGGAGCUUGCUCCCAUCAAUCAGCGGCGGACGGGUGAGUAACACGUGGGUAACCUGCCUGUAAGACUGGGAUAACUCCGGGAAACCGGGGCUAAUACCGGAUAACUCAUUUCCUCGCAUGAGGAAAUGUUGAAAGAUGGCUUCUUGCUAUCACUUACAGAUGGACCCGCGGCGCAUUAGCUAGUUGGUGAGGUAACGGCUCACCAAGGCGACGAUGCGUAGCCGACCUGAGAGGGUGAUCGGCCACACUGGGACUGAGACACGGCCCAGACUCCUACGGGAGGCAGCAGUAGGGAAUCUUCCGCAAUGGACGAAAGUCUGACGGAGCAACGCCGCGUGAGUGAUGAAGGUUUUCGGAUCGUAAAACUCUGUUGUUAGGGAAGAACAAGUACCGUUCGAAUAGGGCGGUACCUUGACGGUACCUAACCAGAAAGCCACGGCUAACUACGUGCCAGCAGCCGCGGUAAUACGUAGGUGGCAAGCGUUGUCCGGAAUUAUUGGGCGUAAAGCGCGCGCAGGUGGUUUCUUAAGUCUGAUGUGAAAGCCCACGGCUCAACCGUGGAGGGUCAUUGGAAACUGGGGAACUUGAGUGCAGAAGAGGAAAGUGGAAUUCCAAGUGUAGCGGUGAAAUGCGUAGAUAUUUGGAGGAACACCAGUGGCGAAGGCGACUUUCUGGUCUGUAACUGACACUGAGGCGCGAAAGCGUG